UACGUAGGGUGCGAGCGUUAAUCGGAAUUACUGGGCGUAAAGCGUGCGCAGGCGGUUUUGUAAGACAGAUGUGAAAUCCCCGGGCUUAACCUGGGAACUGCGUUUGUGACUGCGAGACUGGAGUGCGGCAGAGGGGGGUGGAAUUCCACGUGUAGCAGUGAAAUGCGUAGAGAUGUGGAGGAACACCGAUGGCGAAGGCAGCCCCCUGGGUCGACAAUGACGCUCAUGCAAGCAAGCUGGGGUAGCAAACAGGAUUAGAUAACACCGGAGUCC
rnacentral:rRNA from 1 species